rnacentral:rRNA from 1 species
AUACGGAGGAUCCGAGCGUUAUCCGGAUUUAUUGGGUUUAAAGGGAGCGUAGGUGGACAGUUAAGUCAGUUGUGAAAGUUUGCGGCUCAACCGUAAAAUUGCAGUUGAUACUGGUUGUCUUGAGUACAGUAGAGGUGGGCGGAAUUCGUGGUGUAGCGGUGAAAUGCUUAGAUAUCACGAAGAACUCCGAUUGCGAAGGCAGCUCACUGGACUGCAACUGACACUGAUGCUCGAAAGUGUGGGUAUCAAACAGGAUUAGAUACCCUGGUAGUCCACACAGUAAACGAUGAAUACUCGCUGUUUGCGAUAUACAGUAAGCGGCCAAGCGAAAGCAUUAAGUAUUCCACCUGGGGAGUACGCCGGCAACGGUGAAACUCAAAGGAAUUGGCGGGG